AUUGAACGCUGGCGGCAUGCCUUACACAUGCAAGUCGAACGGCAGCACGGGAGCAAUCCUGGUGGCGAGUGGCGAACGGGUGAGUAAUAUAUCGGAACGUGCCCAGUCGUGGGGGAUAACGCAGCGAAAGCUGUGCUAAUACCGCAUACGAUCUAAGGAUGAAAGCGGGGGAUCGCAAGACCUCGCGCGAUUGGAGCGGCCGAUAUCAGAUUAGCUAGUUGGUGGGGUAAAGGCCCACCAAGGCGACGAUCUGUAGCUGGUCUGAGAGGACGCCCAGCCACACUGGAACUGAGCGACGGUGCAGACUCCUACGGGAGGCAGCAGUGGGGAAUUUUGGACAAUGGGCGCAAGCCUGAUCCAGCAAUGCCGCGUGCAGGAUGAAGGCCUUCGGGUUGUAAACUGCUUUUGUACGGAACGAAACGGCCCUUUCUAAUACAGGGGGCUAAUGACGGUACCGUAAGAAUAAGCACCGGCUAACUACGUGCCAGCCGCCGCAGUAA
rnacentral:rRNA from 1 species